UGGCAAGAAUUCUUAUCGUGAGACUGCGGACGGCUCAUAUAUCAGUGAUUAUCUGUUUGAUUGUCUUACCCAUUGGAUAACCGUGGGAAAUCUAGAGCUAAUACAUGCAAUACAAUGAUGUCCUUGUGUCAUCAUAGCAUUUAUUAGACUUAACCAUCUACUGUGUGGUAACACACGGUAAGGCGAAUCUAGAUAACUUUGCUGAUCGUAUGGCCUUGUGCCGACGACGUUUCAAUUGAGUUUCUGCCCUAUCAAUUUGUUGGUAAGGUAUUGGCUUACCAAGGUUGUAACGGGUAACGGGGAAUCAGGGUUCGAUUCCGGAGAGGGAGCCUGAGAAACGGCUACCACAUCCAAGGAAGGCAGCAGGCGCGCAAAUUACCCAAUCUAGACAGUAGGAGGUGGUGAAGAGAAGUACUGAGUGGGGGCCUAAUGGUCACCAACUUGGAAUGAACGUAAUUUAAGCAAUUCGAUGAGUAACUACCGGGAGGGCAAGUCCUGGUGCCCACCAGCCCCCGGUAAUUCCAGCUCCCAGUGGGCGUGAUUUAAAGUUGCUGCGUUUAAAACGCUCGUAGUUGGAUCACGCAAUAUUAUUUGAGUAAUUCAUAAGGGCGGGUUGGUGACGAUUUUCUGAAAAGAUUAUUGGAUCUCCCGUCGAAUUGGAAUGUUGACGCUUAAUGCUACUAUUGCACACAAAGUAUGACAUUCGCCCUUAAGUGAAGUCCGAAUGUAAUAUCUUUGUGGAGUGUGCCUUGAAUAAAACAAAGUGCUCAAAGCAGGCAAACGCCUGGAAUGUUAUAGCAGGAACGAAACAAACGUCUAUUUGCUUUGUAAUAUUGUAGUGUGAAGUAACUUGUGCUACAAUUACAUUUGCAGCCCCCCGCCAAAAAUACGGAUGUUUGCCUUUCGUUAUAAGUAGAUGAAUAACAAGGAGCGGGUGGGGGCCAUUGGUUAUUUGGCCGCAGAAGGUGAAAUUCUUUGUACCGCGCAAGGCACUAACAGA
rnacentral:rRNA from 1 species